rfam:Brassica napus, WGS project CCCW01000000 data, contig: 12515
GGAAUAUAAGAAUCCGUCUUUUAACUUUUAACUAAAAAAGCUAAGAACCGGCUCUUAAAUAAGAUAUUUAAGAAUCGGUUCUUAGCUUUUUUAGUUAAAAGUUAAAAGACGGAUUCUUAUAUUCC